UACGAAGGGGGCUAGCGUUGCUCGGAAUUACUGGGCGUAAAGCGCACGUAGGCGGCUUUUUAAGUCGGAGGUGAAAUCCUGGAGCUCAACUCCAGAACUGCCUUCGAUACUGAAGAGCUCGAGUCCGGGAGAGGUGAGUGGAACUGCGAGUGUAGAGGUGAAAUUCGUAGAUAUUCGCAAGAACACCAGUGGCGAAAGGCGGCUCACUGGCCCGGUACUGACGCUGAGGUGCGAAAGCGUGGGAGCAAACAGG
rnacentral:rRNA from 1 species